rnacentral:rRNA from 1 species
GAGCGGAAACGAGUUAUCUGAACCUUCGGGGGACGAUAACGGCGUCGAGCGGCGGACGGGUGAGUAAUGCCUAGGAAAUUGCCCUGAUGUGGGGGAUAACCAUUGGAAACGAUGGCUAAUACCGCAUAAUGCCUACGGGCCAAAGAGGGGGACCUUCGGGCCUCUCGCGUCAGGAUAUGCCUAGGUGGGAUUAGCUAGUUGGUGAGGUAAGGGCUCACCAAGGCGACGAUCCCUAGCUGGUCUGAGAGGAUGAUC